rnacentral:lncRNA from 1 species
AUGGAAACUGCACCAAAAAUUUCAAAAAUAUCAAAAUGCUCCAAAUUUUUUGAAACUUCAUAGUAACGAUGAGCAACAUUGGUAGAUGUGCAAUUUGGCGUUGGAAUUUCGAAAAUGUCUGCUGUUACCAUGGAAACAAGUCGAAAAUGGUCAAAAUGCUUCAAAAACCUUAAAGUGGCAUUUACUUUCUUAAAAUGGUAGGUCAAAUCCAUUGAAACUUUGAUGGUAUGUUCCCUCCCAUGUACCAAUGUGGUAUCUGCCAUUAGAAAUUUGGAAUGGUAUCUGUUACCAUAGAAACCAGCCAAAAUGUCAAAAAUUUCAAAAAUUUCAAAAUG